CAGGAAUCGAACAUAGAACGAACGUUUAUUCAGAUACUUCGAUAAUGUCACUAGCUGAAAAGCUGGCUUUGCGACGCUGCCAUCUGUUGGAUUAUGCCUGACUGCCUCCAACCCAGAGCCCAAGCUGG
rnacentral:ncRNA from 1 species